CACAUAUUGGUUUUUGGAUUUUACUCUGGCAACGUUAACUUUCGGGGCAGUAUGGACUUCUUAAAGCUAUUUUGGAUUGCAUUUUCGUAUUUUAUGGCAUUUCAUGUGGUUACGUCGUUUCCAGUUCAAGAUGUUGGUGGAGCAUUUCCCCUUAUCCGAUCCCAGGCUAAACCUAACCCGGAACUCUGGGCAGCAGUGCAAAAAUUAAUGAUUAAAGCGAACAAUUCCCAUCGAUAGAUCUUUUCUUUCGCAAAGAUAACAAUCAGGACACCAUAAAAGCAAGUAAAGUUUUCCCAUUGAAAUUGAGGAGCCAUGGUUACCUAAAAUGUGAUUUAGGGGACCAAUUAACCACAAGCACAGCGAUUCUUCAAUUGCAGAAGGAGGAGGCAAUGGCAAAAAGUUUGAAGGAAGUUGUAAAGUUCAAACAGUUUCAGACAGGAAUGCCCAAGAAAGUCCAGCUCAGAGAGAAAUAUAGUUAUGACAGUUGCAAAAGAAAUUAACGUUUCCUUAAGUGACGAGCAGCGAUGGAAUGUAAAAAAAAUGCAGUACUGCAGUACAUACCGCAGUACAUAAAAUAUGUGGCACCAAGGGGUUGAAAUACCCUCUACAAAAUUAGCUGUGUUUCUGAGAAACGAACAACAAAACGAGUUUGAUUCAAAAUAGGAAAUAGCUCGAAAGAAAAGUAUAAAGGAAAUGUAU